UACGGAGGAUGCAAGUGUUAUCCGGAAUCACUGGGCGUAAAGCGUCUGUAGGUGGUUCGAAAAGUCCACUGUUAAAAAUUGAGGCUUAACCUCAAAGAUGCCGUGGAAACUUUCAAACUAGAGUAUGGUAGGGGUAGAGGGAAUUUCCAGUGGAGCGGUGAAAUGCGUAGAUAUUGGAAAGACCACCGAUGGCGAAGGCACUCUACUGGGCCAUUACUGACACUGAGAGACGAAAGCUAGGGGAGCAAAUGGG
rnacentral:rRNA from 1 species